rnacentral:rRNA from 1 species
GCCUGACGUAGACGCUAUUCCCUAAGAUUAACCCAUGCAUGUUUUUGAAGAUUAUUAUCUGAAAAAUGGACUGCUCAGUAAUACUCACUUUAUUUUAUGUGCACCGCAGAUAACUACGUUAAAGUGUAGAUAACAUGUGUACAGUAAGAGUGAGACCUAUCAGCUAGUUGUUAAGGUAAUGGCUUAACAAGGCAGUGACGGGUAACGGUAUUACUUUGUAAUAUUCCGGAGAAGGAGCCUGAGAGACGGCUACUAAGUCUAAGGAUUGCAGCAGGGGCGAAACUUGACCUAUGGAUUUUAUCUGAGGCAGUUAUGGGAAGUAAUAUAUUAUUGUUUCAUAUUUUAAAAAUAUAUGAGGUGAUUAAUUGGAGGGCAAAUCAAGUGCCAGCAGCCGCGGUAAUACUUGUUCCAAGAGUGUGUAUGAUGAUUGAUGCAGUUAAAAAGUCCGUAGUUUAUUUUUAAGAAGCAAUAUGAGGUGUACUGUAUAGUUGGGAGAGAGAUGAAAUGUGACGACC